CAGUUGAUCCGUGUGAAUCCUCUACCUCCUCCUGUAUCUUCUCCUCUCUUGAUCUUUUCUCUCUAUCUUUUCCCCCCCUCAAACCCCUCUGGAUCUCUGCAUUUUUUUUGACUAGCUUGAUCAAUCUGCUGAUAAAGAAACAUGGGUUCUCUUCUUUUUCCAGGAAUCUGAUGUGGGUACUAUUGCAUACUUUGUUUUUCUCAUCAUCCGAGCAGAAAAAGUCUCACCCAAAUAUCCCUGGUCUUUUUACACUAGCUAAGCUCGGUUUUAUGAGAUUUCUUCUUUUUCUACUCGAGAUUUUUCCUGGGUGUUACCAAGAUUUGAACUUUUUCUCUCCAAUUUACAGAUUAAUUAAUGGGUUCUUCUUUUUCCUUACAAAAAUUUAAGAAAAAAAAAGGAUUUAAAAUAGGGUUUCCUUUUUGUUUGGUUAUACAGGUCUAAUUCGACUGGGUAGAUUCUUCUUGUGUACCACUCACGUAAUUAUUUUAUGGUUUAACCACUGGUUAUAGGCCACGUCACACGCUUUCCGUGGUUUGCACAAAAAUUUCUCCAAAUCUUUUUCUAAUUAUCUUUUUUUUUUUCUUUAAUUUAAAAAGGAGAUUUUAUUUUAAAAUUCAUUUUCCUUUCUCCAAAAAAUGUUCUCUGUGUACUUUCUUUUCCCAUUAGAUUGGUUUUUGGUCAGCAUCAUCAAGAUUCACAUGCAAAUCCAACGGUGGUGGAUCUUCUUCUUCUUUUUCUUCUUCUUCUUCUUCUUCUUCUUCUUCUUCUCUCUAUAUAUAUUGCUGUCUGUGUGUGUGUGUGUGUGUGUGUAGAUAUGUCUAUGUGUGGGCCAAAGUUCUUUGAGAGUGAGAAUCUUGAUGAUGCUGCAUCGACAAUAGACGACUAUAUAUACAAAGGAGGCAGUAGUCCUACUUAUACAGUUCUAUGCACAGCUAUGGCGCCAGUCUGCACCUUAUUUAUCAACAGCUGCAAGAGGAUGAUUUAUAUAUUCCUUCCAAUAUUAUUCCUUUUAUGUCGGUUUCAGGGAUCUUUGCUGUGUUUGACUGCCCAGAUCUGUGAUUAUUCUCCAGAAGCGAGAGGGAAACAAAUACAUACGCGGAAAACACUCGCACACAUAUAUAUACUUUUAAUGGAAACAGAAUCUUUCUAAUGAGUUUCCUGAUAUGGAGAUGGAACUUCAAAAGGAGAGAGAAUUGAAGGCAUUAAUGAUGGUGUCAUGAGCUUCAUUAGAAUCUUUAGAAACAAGCUGUAGGAAUCUGCUGAGAUAAGGAGAAUCAUUCUGAUUAUGAACAGGAAACUGAGAAGGAAAGGUAAGAAAAUGAAAAUGAAAAUGAAAGUUUAUAUUUUUAUUAUUAGUUUUUGGUUGUUUAUGGGUUUCGAUGAUAUCAUCUGAACUAAUUUGGGCUAUAUAUACCUAUCUAUAUCCA